AUUCUCCUCUUCUUUUCGUUGUUUCUUAUUCUUUUUUCCUCUCCAAGCAUAUCGCCCCAUCUUAUCCCAAACCAGGUAGAACACGAGCUCAAUACUGAUCUUCUGCGAGGUCGAAUUGGAGAUGGAUUUGAAGACAGAGGCCAAUUCGGAGAUGGAACUAUACAUGGGUCUUCAACGACAAGUCCCAGAGUGUUGGAAGCUUGAAACUCGGCGCCUUACUUCUCUCUGUGAGAAAUCAGUGAUUUUGAAAAGGAGGAGCUUUGCGCAUCGAAGAGCCAUCUUCAAAGGUCGGCAUGUUGUGGGUGAGGUCAAACCCACUUUUUCCUUAUACCCAAUUGACUGGAAUUGUUGAAUCUUGACCUUUCUUGUUUUGAACAUGUUGAUUAAACCUUUGUCUUGUUUCAUAAAUUGGUGGUCUGGAACGCCACCACCCAUUUUUCAUUUCUUUGUUUUUUUUUGUUGUUGCUUAGUGCCUUUGUGCAAUUUUGACUAGAAGACCAAAGCCAAGCUUUUCCUUUGAAUAUGUUGAUUAAGCUUUUGUCUUGUGCAUGAAUUGAUGGUCUGCAAUGCCCCUUUGUCAUCUUCUGCAAUUGUGUUGGACAUGUUGUUAAUUAAGCUCUUUUGUCUUAUGCAUAGCUUAAUUAAUAUAAUCCCUUAGUCUGCAACACCAUCAUAACAUUCAUUCCUCUUCUUCUUUCUUUAUAUAUAUAUUGCUUUGUGCUUCUGUCAAUCUCUGGAAUGGUUUUGAUGAUGUUAGCCCAUUUAGAUCAAGGUUUCAUGCUAGACACGAAGAUGCCACCGCUAAGACUUUUCUUCUUUUAGUUUUUUUUUGGUUGGCACCACUUUGAAGCUUCUUGGACCCGUAUAGGGCGAGGACAGUAGCUGCAGUUAAGAUCCCAGAGUAUCAAUUUGAGGGAUAGUUUGAUGUGCAGGUGUAAACGAAAGCGGUAAUUAUCAGAGCCUCAGAGGCCUCACGAAGCUUCUUUCUUUGGUGGCCCGAGACGAGAACGAAUACUAUAGUUUAGCCAAGCUUCAGAAUUCCAAGAUUUAAACUCAAGGGUGAGACUUUUUUAAACUUCCCACUGGUUUGUUUAGAAUAGGUGUUUCGGAACGGAGGUUGGGACUGGCUCUUUUUUUGGCUAUGGAGUUUUGAAAAGAUGCAGAUAGGAAUUAUAUGUGGUGUUUAAAUGGAAUUGACAGAGUUCCUGUUAUCUUUUUUUAUAUUGAACCAUCACAACCCUAUGGUAAUUCACAAAGGGGCCUCUGUCAGUUUGGUGUUUUAAACAGCCAAACCUUGAGGAUAAUAUCGGCACCCUAAGGCACGCCGUGUCAAAGUUCUUUGAAAGUAGUUUCGGCACCCUAAGGCACGCCGAAUGGAGCUCUGAAACAGUAUUGGCACCGUAAGGCACCGCCACCGGAGCUUUGAAAGUGGUAAAACCAUAAAGAGAUGGAUUCUCCACCUUUUUCCUAUGGAACACGCUGCAGCUUCCUCUGUCUCCUUUGCUUUCCUUCUCCUUCUGCCUCUUUUUCUUCUCCUUCUGCCUUUUUUCUUUUUCUCUUGUACGGCCUUCUUGGCCUCUUAUAUAGUGUACUGAUGGUAUGGUUGAGUUUUAGAAAGACUCUUGUACUUGACAUGACAUGAAACACCAAGAGAUAACUAUGAUCCCUAUCAGGGAAUUACCGUGCAUCAGUUGCAAUCAAACUCUAAUACUUAGUAAGCUCAUGUGUAAUUAUGGGCAAUUGACCUUCACGCAUUUUCCGUCCUUUUUUCAUUAUCUAUCUUUUUUUGUUUCAACAAAGGGUAAGGUUACUUUUAAUAGUACAUGGAUAAUUGAUACAUGUGCAUCUGACCAUAUGACCAAUGACCCAAGUCUCGUGAAAAACCUUAGACAUUCCCCUCAAAACGUUGUCUCUAUUGCUGAUGGUACUCAAACUCCGGUCACCAGAGAACGUUCCAUUGCUUUAUCUGAUACCCUUGAAUCUGUCUUAGUUGUUCCAUCACUAGCUUAUAAUCUUCUGUCUGUUGGUCAAAUUAUUUUAGCUCUUGCGUGUAUUGUGACCUUUUAUCCGUCUUUCUGUGU